AAAUAGAUGCUUUUGUUUUAAACUUUCUAUUCAUCAGUGAAUCUUGAAAAAGAAAAUAUAUUAUGGUUUCCAGUAAAUUAUUAAGCAUCAUUUAUUAAGCCCGUUUUCAUCAUUUAUAAUAAUCAGAAAUGUUUCUUAAUCAGCAAAUCAGCAUGAUUUAUGUAGGAUCAUGUGACACUGAAGACUGGCAUAAUGAUGCUGAAAAUUCAGCAUUGCGUCACAGGAAUAAAUGACAUUUUACAAUAUAUUCAAAUAGAAAACAGUUAUUUUAAAUUGUAAAAUUUCAUAUUUUUACUGGAUUUUUUUUAUCCAACAAAUGAAAGUGAAAGUGAUAGUCGUGGCAUUUGCCAAGUAUGGUAACCUGUAUUUGAAAUUGGUGUUCUGCUUUUAACCCAUCCAAGUGCACACACACAGCAGUGAGAAGUGAACACACCGUGAACACACACCCGGAGCAGUGGGCAGCUAUAUCCAGCUGCCCGGGGAGCAACUGGGGGUCCAGUGCCUUGCUCAAGGGCACUUCAGCCAUGGUUAUUGAGGGUGGAAGAGAGCACUGUUCAUUUACUCCCUCCCACCUACAACUCCUGCCAGCACCGAGACUCGAACCUGCGACCUUUGGGUUACAAGGCCAACUCUCUAACCAUUAGGCCACAGCUGCCCCCAGCCUUGGCCCCUCAACAGAUGGGCACAUUGGCGUUCUACAGAUACGAGCAGCCCAUCGUGGACUACUGCCAGGCUCACCAGCCCCUGCACUUGAACAGGGGUUUUGAGCCCCCGUCCCAGGCCCUGGAGGGGCUGGGGGCACGAGAACGCUGCGUCGUCCCAUCCGCUGGCCUCCUUCCUUCCGUGCCUGCAGCCCCUCUGUCAGACAUCCGCACCCUACCGCAGUGAGCCGGAGAUGGACUCGUCCCUUUCGCUUGCUCUCCUCCACGAACGUCCCCGGAUAUAUGGGACAGCGUGAUAGACUACAGACUCUCAGGAGAGGACUCUGUCUUUGUCGUGAAGUGGGUUAAACAAUCUCGGGUUUGUCAUUUGCAAGAAUCAUCAUUGUAGUGUACGAUCGAUGUGUUUGGAAUAAUCAAACAGGGGUGCGUUUCCCAAAACCAUAGUUGCUAACCUGUUAGCAACUUAGUUGGUUGGCAAUGGGAAAUUGCAUUGGGAAAUUGCUUUUGGGAAACGCACCCCAGGAUGAUUCGGGGGGCAAAAAAAGGCAUUUUAUUCUGGUAUUUCUUGCUUUUUGUGAGGUCAACCCUCUACAUUUUUCAAAAGCAUCAUGCUACCAUUUCAAAUGGGAAAUAAACAUCAAGUUUUAUUGACUCAACAGCACGCAAGAUCGGUGUUCUCCCGUAACCAGAAGUAAUUAAAUGUAAACCAGCGCCCCUUAAAUGAAUCUGAGGAAUUUCUGAGCAUAAAAAUCUCUUCCAUCUCUUUCUAAUAAGGCCUUUUAGAAUGACUCCUGCCCUGUGAAGUCAGCGAUAAUUGCUUUAUAUGAAAUUGCCCAAAUUUAAUUUCUCAAGGUGAGCUGGCGAAUUUGAAUUGUAAAUGAUAAUAUGACCCUCACUUGACAGCUUCUCUAUUGUGAAUCUUGAUUGUUCUGUAUUACGAUGAAAGAACCCAUCAUGCCAUGCCGGUUUUACUCUGAAAAUCACUGACAGCUGUGACAUCAUUUAUCAGUGCUGUUUUACACCGACCGUGGAAAAUGUCUGACAUAAUUUAGAGUUUCCUUUCAGUUUUCGGAUGUGACCACUGGGUCAGUCUUUGUUAGUCUUUGUUGAACUGUUAAAAAUACAUAUAAAAAAAUGUGGAAAUUUAACAAAGUACUUCUGUAAAAUGGUCUUGAAAACUUUCAGGUCGAUAUCAGACACUUAAACUUAAUUAUAACGUGAUUAUUGCAAGAUUAUGCUGAGAAACUGUAUGUGAGGAGAUUUUUAUUUAUUUUCUUUUAAACUGUCGAUAUUACACUGUUUUUGUGAUUCAAUCAAGCAGGAUGUUGUUUUCCCUCCAAAAUGAU
rnacentral:lncRNA from 1 species